rnacentral:tmRNA from 1 species
GGGCCCGAAACGGCUUCGACGGGGUAGGAGAAGAGGAUAGUGCAGGUGGUCACACGAAAUAGCGGACCUAAAACGCGGUUUCAAACUUUAAUUGCCAAUAACAAUUAUCAUUUCGAAUCUGUUCGCUUAGCGGCUUAAUCGGGUGGUUGUCUAAAACCAUCUAUCCAAUUUAGACUAAGUGGAUUAGUAUCACUGAAUAAUAAAAAAUACUCGAUUCUUACUUCCGCAGGUAAGAUGGUUUAACAGCGGAAAAUUUGUCAGUUUAGAAAAACUGAAUAAACCUGUGAAUGACUUGAAUCAGAAGCUAUUGCGGACGCGGGUUCGACUCCCGCCGGGUCCACCA